GUUAUAUGGUCAAGUGAAGAAGCGCAUACGGUGGAUGCCUUGGCAGUCAGAGGCGAUGAAAGACGUGGUAGCCUGCGAAAAGCUUCGGGGAGUCGGCAAACAGACUUUGAUCCGGAGAUCYCUGAAUGGGGGAACCCACCUAGGAUAACCUAGGUAUCUUGUACUGAAUCCAUAGGUGCAAGAGGCGAACCAGGGGAACUGAAACAUCUAAGUACCCUGAGGAAAAGAAAUCAACCGAGAUUCCCUUAGUAGUGGCGAGCGAACGGGGAUUAGCCCUUAAGCUUCAUUGAUUUUAGCGGAACGCUCUGGAAAGUGCGGCCAUAGUGGGUGAUAGCCCCGUACGCGAAAGGAUCUUUGAAGUGAAAUCGAGUAGGACGGAGCACGAGAAACUUUGUCUGAACAUGGGGGGCCAUCCUCCAAGGCUAAAUACUACUGACUGACCGAUAGUGAACCAGUACCGUGAGGGAAAGGCGAAAAGAACCCCGGAGAGGGGAGUGAAAUAGAACCUGAAACCGUAUGCGUACAAGCAGUGGGAGCCUACUUGUUAGGUGACUGCGUACCUUUUGUAUAAUGGGUCAGCGACUUAUAUUCAGUGGCAAGCUUAACCGUAUAGGGUAGGCGUAGCGAAAGCGAGUCUUAAUAGGGCGUUUAGUCGCUGGGUAUAGACCCGAAACCGGGCGAUCUAUCCAUGAGCAGGUUGAAGGUUAGGUAACACUGACUGGAGGACCGAACCCACUCCCGUUGAAAAGGUAGGGGAUGACUUGUGGAUCGGAGUGAAAGGCUAAUCAAGCUCGGAGAUAGCUGGUUCUCCUCGAAAGCUAUUUAGGUAGCGCCUCAUGUAUCACUCUGGGGGGUAGAGCACUGUUUCGGCUAGGGGGUCAUCCCGACUUACCAAACCGAUGCAAACUCCGAAUACCCAGAAGUGCCGAGCAUGGGAGACACACGGCGGGUGCUAACGUCCGUCGUGAAAAGGGAAACAACCCAGACCGCCAGCUAAGGUCCCAAAGUUGUGGUUAAGUGGUAAACGAUGUGGGAAGGCUUAGACAGCUAGGAGGUUGGCUUAGAAGCAGCCAUCCUUUAAAGAAAGCGUAAUAGCUCACUAGUCGAGUCGGCCUGCGCGGAAGAUGUAACGGGGCUCAAACCACACACCGAAGCUGCGGGUGUCACGUAAGUGACGCGGUAGAGGAGCGUUCUGUAAGCCUGUGAAGGUGAGUUGAGAAGCUUGCUGGAGGUAUCAGAAGUGCGAAUGCUGACAUGAGUAACGACAAUGGGUGUGAAAAACACCCACGCCGAAAGACCAAGGGUUCCUGCGCAACGUUAAUCGACGCAGGGUUAGUCGGUUCCUAAGGCGAGGCUGAAAAGCGUAGUCGAUGGGAAACAGGUUAAUAUUCCUGUACUUCUGGUUACUGCGAUGGAGGGACGGAGAAGGCUAGGCCAGCUUGGCGUUGGUUGUCCAAGUUUAAGGUGGUAGGCUGAAAUCUUAGGUAAAUCCGGGGUUUCAAGGCCGAGAGCUGAUGACGAGUCGUCUUUUAGAUGACGAAGUGGUUGAUGCCAUGCUUCCAAGAAAAGCUUCUAAGCUUCAGGUAACCAGGAACCGUACCCCAAACCGACACAGGUGGUCGGGUAGAGAAUACCAAGGCGCUUGAGAGAACUCGGGUGAAGGAACUAGGCAAAAUGGCACCGUAACUUCGGGAGAAGGUGCGCCGGCUAGGGUGAAGGAUUUACUCCGUAAGCUCUGGCUGGUCGAAGAUACCAGGCCGCUGCGACUGUUUAUUAAAAACACAGCACUCUGCAAACACGAAAGUGGACGUAUAGGGUGUGACGCCUGCCCGGUGCCGGAAGGUUAAUUGAUGGGGUUAGCGCAAGCGAAGCUCUUGAUCGAAGCCCCGGUAAACGGCGGCCGUAACUAUAACGGUCCUAAGGUAGCGAAAUUCCUUGUCGGGUAAGUUCCGACCUGCACGAAUGGCGUAACGAUGGCGGCGCUGUCUCCACCCGAGACUCAGUGAAAUUGAAAUCGCUGUGAAGAUGCAGUGUAUCCGCGGCUAGACGGAAAGACCCCGUGAACCUUUACUGUAGCUUUGCACUGGACUUUGAGCCUGCUUGUGUAGGAUAGGUGGGAGGCUUUGAAGCGUGGACGCCAGUUCGCGUGGAGCCAUCCUUGAAAUACCACCCUGGCAUGCUUGAGGUUCUAACUCUGGUCCGUAAUCCGGAUCGAGGACAGUGUAUGGUGGGCAGUUUGACUGGGGCGGUCUCCUCCUAAAGAGUAACGGAGGAGUACGAAGGUGCGCUCAGACCGGUCGGAAAUCGGUCGCAGAGUAUAAAGGCAAAAGCGCGCUUGACUGCGAGACAGACACGUCGAGCAGGUACGAAAGUAGGUCUUAGUGAUCCGGUGGUUCUGUAUGGAAGGGCCAUCGCUCAACGGAUAAAAGGUACUCCGGGGAUAACAGGCUGAUACCGCCCAAGAGUUCAUAUCGACGGCGGUGUUUGGCACCUCGAUGUCGGCUCAUCACAUCCUGGGGCUGAAGCCGGUCCCAAGGGUAUGGCUGUUCGCCAUUUAAAGUGGUACGCGAGCUGGGUUUAGAACGUCGUGAGACAGUUCGGUCCCUAUCUGCCGUGGACGUUUGAGAUUUGAGAGGGGCUGCUCCUAGUACGAGAGGACCGGAGUGGACGAACCUCUGGUGUUCCGGUUGUCACGCCAGUGGCAUUGCCGGGUAGCUAUGUUCGGAAAAGAUAACCGCUGAAAGCAUCUAAGCGGGAAACUUGCCUCAAGAUGAGAUCUCACUGGGAACUUGAUUCCCCUGAAGGGCCGUCGAAGACUACGACGUUGAUAGGCUGGGUGUGUAAGCGUUGUGAGGCGUUGAGCUAACCAGUACUAAUUGCCCGUGAGGCUUGACCAUAUAACACCCAAACA
rnacentral:rRNA from 1 species